rnacentral:tRNA from 1 species
GGUGUUGUGGUGUAGUCGGUUAUUACGUUCAUCUUACACAUUAAAGAUCCCUAGUUCGAACUUGGGCAGCACGU